AACGAACGCUGGCGGCAUGCCUAACACAUGCAAGUCGAACGAGACCUUCGGGUCUAGUGGCGCACGGGUGCGUAACGCGUGGGAACCUGCCUUUAGGUUCGGAAUAACUCAGAGAAAUUUGAGCUAAUACAGGAUGAUGUCUUCGGACCAAAGAUUUAUCGCCUUUGGAUGGGCCCGCGUUGGAUUAGCCAGUUGGUAGGGUAAAGGCCUACCAAGGCGACGAUCCAUAGCUGGUCUGAGAGGAUGAUCAGCCACACUGGGACUGAGACACGGCCCAGACUCCUACGGGAGGCAGCAGUGGGGAAUAUUGGAAAAUGGGCGAAAGCCUGAUCCAGCAAUGCCGCGUGAGUGAUGAAGGUCUUAGGGUUGUAAAGCUCUUUUACCCGAGAUGAUAAUGACAGUACCGGGAGAAUAAGCUCCGGCUAACUCCGUG
rnacentral:rRNA from 1 species